AGUGAACGCUGGCGGUAGGCCUAACACAUGCAAGUCGAACGGCAGCACAGUAAGAGCUUGCUCUUACGGGUGGCGAGUGGCGGACGGGUGAGGAAUACAUCGGAAUCUACUUUUUCGUGGGGGAUAACAUAGGGAAACUUACGCUAAUACCGCAUACGACCUACGGGUGAAAGCAGGGGAUCUUCGGACCUUGCGCGAUUGAAUGAGCCGAUGUCGGAUUAGCUAGUUGGCGGGGUAAAGGCCCACCAAGGCGACGAUCCGUAGCUGGUCUGAGAGGAUGAUCAGCCACACUGGAACUGAGACACGGUCCAGACUCCUACGGGAGGCAGCAGUGGGGAAUAUUGGACAAUGGGCGCAAGCCUGAUCCAGCCAUACCGCGUGGGUGAAGAAGGCCUUCGGGUUUUAAAGCCCUUUUGUUGGGAAAGAAAAGCAGCAGGUUAAUACCCCGCUGUUCUGACGGUACCCAAAGAAUAAGCACCGGCUAACUUCGUG
rnacentral:rRNA from 1 species